UACGGGGGGGGCAAGCGUUGUUCGGAAUUACUGGGCGUAAAGGGCUCGUAGGUGGCCAACUAAGUCAGACGUGAAAUCCCUCGGCUUAACCGGGGAACUGCGUCUGAUACUGGAUGGCUUGAGUUUGGGAGAGGGACGCGGAAUUCCAGGUGUAGCGGUGAAAUGCGUAGAUAUCUGGAGGAACACCGGUGGCGAAGGCGGGUUGCUGGGCUGACACUGACGCUGAGGCGCGAAAGCUAGGGGAGCGAACGGG
rnacentral:rRNA from 1 species